rnacentral:rRNA from 1 species
UCAGCACGCAGCCUGUUGCAGCCCUGCCGCGUGUAUGAAGAAGGCCUUCGGGUUGUAAAGUACUUUCAGCGGGGAGGAAGGGAGUAAAGUUAAUACCUUUGCUCAUUGACGUUACCCGCAGAAGAAGCACCGGCUAACUCCGUGCCAGCAGCCGCGGUAAUA